rnacentral:misc_RNA from 1 species
GUGAUUUGGCGAGAGCCUUAUUCUAUAAUCUUACCUAACAACCGUGAACCGUAUCGGCCCUCGGGUCGUGUCUUUACAAACAUAGUGUAAUGAACGUCAUAUCAUAUAACAAAAACA